UACGAAGGGGGCUAGCGUUGCUCGGAAUCACUGGGCGUAAAGGGUGCGUAGGCGGGUCUUUAAGUCAGGGGUGAAAUCCUGGAGCUCAACUCCAGAACUGCCUUUGAUACUGAGGAUCUUGAGUUCGGGAGAGGUGAGUGGAACUGCGAGUGUAGAGGUGAAAUUCGUAGAUAUUCGCAAGAACACCAGUGGCGAAGGCGGCUCACUGGCCCGAUACUGACGCUGAGGCACGAAAGCGGGGGGAGCAAACAGG
rnacentral:rRNA from 1 species